rnacentral:lncRNA from 1 species
GGCUGGCCUACAGCACUAAGUCUGGCAGGGCUCAGAGAAGGAAGCUUCCAAGUGGACUUCAUGCAUCUGAAAAGGAGCCACUCUGGGAGCCGCCUUGGAGGCAGCUCUUCUCACUACCUAGGUAACUUGUGGGUAACAGCUCUGUCAUCUAUGGCUCAAAGCCACUCACCAGGGAGUUGCUGCAGACCUGUAUGUAUCCUUAUACAGAGAAACAGAGAGUGGCUACUGAGGACCUAAGCCGGUGCCUCAUGGAUAAGGAAACUCCAUGGAAGUUAGAGCUGCCCUGUAAUUUGCAUCCCCCAUAUCUUAGAAACCAGAAUGAAAGGCCUACAGCAGAGACUGAAGAGAGGAAGGCUCAUCACUUGGACCACCAAAGAACUAAGAAAGGUCUCAAGAUCCCUCUGCUAUGGUUAAAUCUAGUCAAGCAACCCAUCCCGGUGCUACUGUGGAAUUCCUGCAAGAGGCAGGAGGCGGUUCAGUCAUCAAAGCCAUUUUUACAAGGUAGACAUAGGACUGGGGGAUUAAAGGCUUUCAUGGCCUCACUUGCCAACCUGCCCCCCCCCCCAAGGCUCUGGGUGAGUACCUAUUAACUUCUCUCCACUCUCUAAUCCCAAAUCAAUCUCCACUUUGCAUAUCGACAUGAAAGCCAAUGGCGGUGCUGGCUAAGGUCAGCCAACUCCAAGGAAAAGGCCUCAGGGGCAGGCAGAUAUGGAGCCAGGUGCUAGGAAAGGCAAUAGGAGAAACCUCAAGCUGGGCUUUAGUCUACCAGCGACUCCCUCCCCUACUGCUGCCAGUGCCUGAGGCACCAGGGCAGUUUGUAUCUUCUCAAGGUGUAUCCCCAGGAACCUUCGGAGGAGGAAUUUGGCCACGGCCUCACAAAGUCUGACUCCUGGUCAGAAUGCCUGGAGUGUGUGACCUAGCUGGGAUUCACCUCAUCCACUGCCAGCACCUCACUUUCUAAAGGCGCCCGGGGUUACAGCUUCUCAGGCGGUGCACUGUGGCAUGCAAAGCCGGAAGACAUUUGGCCUUCAACUGACUCAUACAGACCGGAAGAGGUGUCACGAGCAGUUUCCAAGCAUGGUCACUGCCCCCUGGCGGCCACGACCUAGAGUUGCUACAAGUGAUGAUCAGGCCGAGUGAAGACAAGGACCCUUAAGUCUCCUACUUCCUACAAGGACCCUUAUCUCCCCUUCCAUUCUCCUGAAAGCCUCGAAAGUCUCAAAGGCCCCCAAACUCUCGGACAGGUGGCAAUCACCAUCCCAUCUUACAUUCACAAGCACCACUGGCCGCCAGGUGCAACUUUGCGCUCAAUUUCGACGAACUCAGAAGGUCGAACACGCCUACCGCCCAGCUGGGGGCUCAGAGCCAAGUGCGCACCCACUAGGGACAGAAACCCACGCUAAAGAUGUCAAACAGGUUUCCAUUCUCAGUGCCUCCAAAAGCUGGAGCUUGGGCCAGUUCCGCCUUCCGUCCGCUGGGGCCCUCCAGGUCGUCUGCCACCUCCCUCUCCCUGGCAGGGGGUGGCCGACACAUAGCCCAGGAGGCCCCAGGGCGCUGGAGAGCCGCCGAAACCUGUCCAGGAUCCACAAGGCUGUAGAGAUCAAGCUGCCCAUCUAUGGAGAUGCCGGGAGCCGUCCCGGCUUUAGGAAGAGAUGCAAGCCGUGCUCCGACCCCUCCCAAGAGACAAGCGCGGCCCCUGCCUUAUUCAGGCCCGCGCCUACCGGUCCUCGCACGCCGUUUCAUUCUGCUCGGCCGGGCGGCCAGGCACGUCUGGGGUCACAGCAGACUGCAGGGGCGAAGGGGCGGCGCUCAUUGAGGCCGGCGGCGCAGCCAUGGCGUCCCGAACCUGGCGGAGGCCGGGGAGGCGCACCGGGAGGCAGGCACGCUGCGGACUACAAUCCCCACAAGGCCGUGCGGCAAGCCCCGAGAAUGACCUUUGCCUCAACACAAACUCAGCCACACAAAAUCCCUGGGAAAAAAAAAUCAAUAAACAUUUAUUUGAUACAGUGACUUUAA